AGGGCAGCUACCCAGCGAUGGGAUGCGAAUCUCGAAAGCCUGUCUCAGUUCGGAUUGGAGGCUGAAACCCGCCUCCAUGAAGUUGGAUUCGCUAGUAAUCGCGCAUCAGCCAUGGCGCGGUGAAUACGUUCCCGGGCCUUGUACACACCGCCCGUCAAGCCAUGGAAGCUGGGGGUGCCUGAAGUUCGUGACCGGAAGGAGCGACCUAGGGCAAAACCGGUGACUGGGGCUAAGUCGUAACAAGGUAUC
rnacentral:rRNA from 1 species